ensembl:lncRNA
GGCAACCGUGGAAGCAGAGGCUGGAUGCCGACUUUCUCAGGCCUCCUGAAGCACAGCCCAGCUGAUGCCCAUCUUGGCUGUAGGCCAAGCAGCUGAUGCAAAUCUUAGCCCGGCUGGUACCUUCCAAGGGGUUGGUUUAUCCCAGGCACCCUCUUGUUCUAAGCCCCACGAUGCCCAUCUUGCUGCUGCUGCUAAAUCACUUCAGUCGUAUCCAACUCUGUGACCCCAUAAACAGCAGCCCACCAGGCUCCCCCAUCCAUGGGAUUUUCCAGGCCGCCCGGCCCCACUGUCUGCAGGUCAUGGUUCCUACCGCACUGAGAUCUGAGGGGCAAGAGACCCCCUCUGGCUUGUGGACCAACCUCAGUCCUGAAGCAGCGAAUUCCUUCAAGUUGGACACCAACCACUUCAACCAUGAGGGCUGCAGCUGAAGCUUCUCAGGUGUGGCACCAGGUAUCACAGCUCCUGGUAUUUUGUUUGAAAGAAGAUAAUUCAGAAGAUACAUCAAAAACAGUGUCUUCAAAGGCACUGACUUAACCAAAAAAUCCAAGAAAUGUUAUGCCAUCUUCCAAUACCAUAAACCACUAGAAUAUAAGCUCCCUGCAGGCAGAGUGGGGUUUGCCUGUUUAUUUCUAUUUUUUUCCCUAUAUUGUUUGUCAGUUUCAGAGCCUGAAACAGCCAGCCUGGCAUAGAAUAGGCAAUAAAUUAAAAUGUGUCAAAUAAACAAACCAAAAUGUGUCAGAA